CGUUCGGAAGGGAUAACCGCUGAAAGCAUCUAAGCGGGAAGCCUGCUUCAAGAUGAGGUUUCCAUCCCCGCAAGGGGUGAAGGCACCCAGCUAGACCACUGGGUAGAUAGGCCGGAUGUGGAAGACAGGACUCAAGACUGUCGGAGCUGACCGGUACUAAUAAGCCAACAACUUCACACA
rfam:Promicromonospora flava strain DSM 21481 genome assembly, contig: Ga0061139_scaffold00004.4